rnacentral:lncRNA from 1 species
CCCACGGAUAUCUGAAAAGAUAAUGAAAAGAAAAAAAAAUAUUCUACGUAAGAAAAAAUUUAUUUUUCAUUUUUUUCAUCUUUUCUUUUAUUUUCUUUUAUUUUUUUUCAUUUUCUUUUGCUGUUUUCAUCUUCAAAAGUCCAAUGGGAUGGAAGGCUUGGAGUGGCCGAAUAUAGAAGCUUAGAAAAGGUGGAGCAAUCGAAUAUGGGAAGCUUAAACGGUUAGG